AACGUAGGGGACAAGCGUUAUCCGGAUUUACUGGGCGUAAAGCGCCCGUAGGCGGCCUGACAAGUUGGACGUGAAAGCUCCUGGCUUAACUGGGAGAGGCCGUUCAAAACUGUCAAGCUAGAGUCUGGAAGAGGAGAGCGGAAUUCCCGGUGUAGUGGUGGAAUGCGUAGAGAUCGGGAGGAACACCAGUGGCGAAAGCGGCUCUCUGGUCCAAAACUGACGCUGAGGAGCGAAAGCUAGGGGAAGCAAACGGG
rnacentral:rRNA from 1 species